rnacentral:rRNA from 1 species
UACGUAGGGUGCGAGCGUUGUCCGGAAUUAUUGGGCGUAAAGAGCUCGUAGGCGGCUUGUCGCGUCGACUGUGAAAACCCGCGGCUCAACUGCGGGCCUGCAGCCGAUACGGGCAGGCUAGAGUUCGGUAGGGGAGACUGGAAUUCUCGGUGUAGCGGUGAAAUGCGUAGAUAUCGAGAGGAACACCUGCGGCGAAGGCGGGUUGCUGGGCUGAUGACUGACGCUGAGGCGCGAAAGCCAGGGGAGCGAACGGG